rnacentral:lncRNA from 1 species
UUUAGGUCCAGAUUAUGUAAUGUCUCCUUUAAACAUUAAUGAAAUUCUGCAACUAUUUUAGCCAAGAAACUUUCUUUGCCAUAUAUAUAAAGUUUAUAUAAAUGCUUAUCAAUCAAUCAUUAAGAAAGACUAGAGAGAAAUAAAUAAGAAGUAACAAACCAAAAAGAAAAUAUAGAAAACAUUUCAUUAAAAGAGAAAGAUAAAGUACAUAAACAACAAAAGUAACAAAAGAAAAC